AAGUCGUAACAAGGUUUCCGUAGGUGAACCUGCGGAAGGAUCAUUAACGAAUGAAGUUGAGCGAGGUUGUCGCUGGCCUUCGGGCAUGUGCACACCUUGUUCGUCCAACCUUCUACACCUCUGUGCACUUCUCAUGGGUUCGGGUACUGUGCCUUCGGGCUGGAACCCUUGCCUGUGUGCUCACACAUACACAAUGUUUGUUAUAGAAUGUCUACUGUGCAUGAAUGCAUAUAAUACAA
rnacentral:misc_RNA from 1 species